UUUAUUUGUUUCUUGACUUGACUGUUGAUAAAAUGCUACAGUGUUUUUGUAAUUUAAAAGCAAACGGAGGUAUAAAAUAAAAGUUAGCGGGCGCUUCGAACUAUAUAUCGUAAAAUCCCACUCCUGGUAUUUGAAAUUUAACGUUUUCUGUGGAAGCAUGUAAUUUGAUACUUUGUCACUCCCCCUUGGGCAAUCAAUUUUUGUAGAGUCACGUGACCAGCCGAUACCAGGGUCUUUCCCAAAAAGACCCUGGGUACGAGGAUGGU